CACAAACCAUAGGGAGCAGCCAGCCUGCACUAUACAAAAUGUUCAGUAACAGGGUUUCUUGAUUGGCUACCUAGUUAAGUAAAUCUCCUUGCCUGGAGGAAACUAAGUUAAAAUAACAUUGAGGUCCGUCCCUAAGCCCGCAAAAGAGAAGAAAAUUAAAAAGCAGGGCUGAAAAUUUCCUCUGUUGUGCAAUGAGUAUUGCAGGAUGGUUGUCAGAUGAAGUUUCAAAUACGUAUUAACAUUUUCCUAAACACGAGUUCAGACCCCACAGUCUCCUAAAUGCUGCAGGUUUGGCUGACGUUAGCUCCAGGAGGAUUACUCCGUUGGAAACCAUCAGCAAUGAAGUGACUCUACCAGCUCUGCCUGCUAUUAUAUCUUCUUAUUGUAAGGGACCAUACUCCCUAUGAUUCUAGGGAUCAGCACGCACCUCUCCCAGGCCUUGUCUGCUCCACCAGAAGAGGUGCUUCCAGGAAAUGAUCUCAGAUCUGGCUGUGCAUCACAAUCACUGGAAAUGUUCAUUAAAAUGCAGGGUCCUCUCGCUUCAGUAAUUCAAAGACUCUCCAGAGAAGGUUACAUAGAUGCAGGAAUCAGUCCUACUCAUCGUCACUGCUUGUCAGGGCAGUGGGAACUCAGACUCCCUCUGAGAACAGGACGAAGGACACAAUCCUUUAACGGCAAAAGGAGAAGUAAGGCCUCUGCUCUGGCUCCACUCCAAGUGGAUCUCAGGCUGAUCAAGGAGGAACGCGCCCCCUGUGUGAGCUGAUAACAGACAAUUCCCACAGAGCUUUUUCAGAAGCUCACCCAAGACCGCCAGUUACUGUCUACCUCACUUUCUGUUCGAAGUCUAGGAGCAGAGUGAAUAAGGACAAUGAUGUGAAAUGGACAUUCUAUCUGGAAAUCUUCAUGAUAUCAACAAAUCUUCUCAUGAGUGAUUCAUAAACUGGAAAAUAGCUCAAGGUAGCUAAGUUUGUCAUUACAUGCAACAACCUGAAAAGGUGCUUUUCUUCUGAGAGAGAGUAAAAACGGUUUCUGAAAGGAAAUCCUUUAGGAAAUUAGGUAAUACAGCUCUGGACAUCAUGUACUAUCAUACUCUUUGCUGAGACAUAUUCUUUGGAAAAUACAGAAAAAGUCUAGUUCUAAACCACAAGUGAGGCUAUCAAUGGGUAUCAUUCGAUGAUAAACAACUCUUGAAAAGGAAGAGAAGUAGAAUAGUUGGAACUACAAUUAAUUGAAAAAGUGG
rnacentral:lncRNA from 1 species